rnacentral:rRNA from 1 species
CCUACGGCGGCAGCAGUGGGGAAUAUUGGACAAUGGGCGAAAGCCUGAUCCAGCCAUGCCGCGUGUGUGAAGAAGGCCUUCGGGUUGUAAAGCACUUUCAGUGGGGAAGAAAGCCUUGGGGCUAAUACCCUCGAGGAAGGACAUCACCCACAGAAGAAGCACCGGCUAACUCCGUGCCAGCAGCCGCGGUAAUACGGAGGGUGCGAGCGUUAAUCGGAAUUACUGGGCGUAAAGCGCGCGUAGGCGGUCUGAUAAGCCGGUUGUGAAAGCCCCGGGCUCAACCUGGGAACGGCAUCCGGAACUGUCAGGCUAGAGUGCAGGAGAGGAAGGUAGAAUUCCCGGUGUAGCGGUGAAAUGCGUAGAGAUCGGGAGGAAUACCAGUGGCGAAGGCGGCCUUCUGGACUGACACUGACGCUGAGGUGCGAAAGCGUGGGUAGCAAACAGGAUUAGAUACCCGUGUAGUC